rnacentral:lncRNA from 1 species
UUUUUUCAUUCUAUUAUAUUUCUAUCUUACUUUUGAUUUUCAAUUGUAACUUUCUAAUAUGCAAUUUUUUUACUUCCAAUAUAGUAUAUUUUAAUAACCUCUCACCAUAUUUUUUAAAUUGACAAUAGUUUCUUUUAGUAACGGUAAUGAUAGAUUUUUUCAUAACAUAAACACCUCAUUGUUGCAAGAUAUGAUCAUAUAUAUUUGCUCUUAAAAAAU